ACAGACGAGUCUGUCACCUUCACCGAUGGGGCGGGGAUACGACAGGUGUCCCUCCCCCGGACCGACUCCAAGGGACACCUGCCUUUCUGUUAUAGAAAUGACUAUGCAGAAAACAUCUCUCCAAAAUUCAAUUUUAACAGACAGUAUUCGCUCCCAUUUCAAGACACAUUUAAACAGAAACAAGACGAUACUGAUUUUACACUGCCAAAACUUUUUGAACAGAACUCUUCAGAAGAUUUAAGCAAACCUCCGACGGUCUUGCUCUCUAAGGCAGAAGCCAUCAUUGACUCAAAUUCCCCUACUCAGAUGGAUAUCAAGUGGUCGGUUGAGAACGCCAAACUUGGUGCCAAUAUUUUAUUCGACGUUGAAAUUAUGACAGGCACGGAAUGGGAAUUUCUGACAGAAAAAAGAAUCCCGGUGAUACGGAUUUACAAAACUGACCAAUCGGUUUCUUUGUGCAAAGUAAAAUGGGAUCUGAACCGAGGUGACACCGUUUGGCAUGUCCGAGUUCGGCCACGUGACAGUGAUACGACUUAUGAUUGGAGCAGUUCUAUAAAAAUAGAAAUACAUGGUGCCAAAAUGGACACCAAUUUCAACCACAAUGAUAAAACUGGUUCGAUAUUGUACUGAUUUUUGUUUAUUAGACUUCAUAAAUAUAUGUCGUCAUCUCGUGCAAUUAAUUUCAACCAAUGUGAUAACAAUUACUCAUGCUCAAUGUAAUAAUUAAUAAUUUUGAAUUCAGUCAACAUUAUUUAUCAUAAGUGUUUUGCGAGUUUGUGUUAAAUUUUUGUUUACAUGUUCGCUACGUGUAUAAAGAGAAACUCGUGCUUCGGUGCAUAUAUAACCUAGCCUGGUAUUUGAAAGCAUUGUACAUAAUUUGUACAUUACAAAAGUCACCGGUAUCUACAUGUACUCUUACCGGGGAUAUAUCAUUACCUGUUUAUAAGAUUUCAUUGCUCAUUUUUUAUUGUUGUAUGGCUGUGAUAUGUAUAUAUAUGACUGAAUAUGUCAUUAUAUAAGCAUCAGCGAUUUUGAUAUUAUGGUUUACAAAUUUUGUUUCUGGCAACACGUUGUACAUUUUGAAGCAUACACCGAUCCGUGCAGUAUGCCCAUUGCAUCACUUGUUGAUGUUGACAAUAUACAUGUACAAAAGCAAUAUGCACUGCAUGCAUCUUCUUUGUUGUUUCACAUUCAUGUUAAUUAAUACAACAGUUACUGUAAUUAUCCAAGAUUUUUUGCUAUGGAAUGAAAAGGUUUUAUGUACAUGUACUAGAUGACUUCAUAUGAACCAACGACGUUUCUGUGAAUUUGUACUAGUAAAUGCCACUUUCCGCUAUAUAUGGUGUUGCAAUGUAUGCACAGUUUUCUUUUUCAAGUUAACUAGCUGCAGUUUUUUCCAGUUAUUUACAAAUAUUCUAGUAGUAAACUUUUAUUUAGAACUAAGUCCGGUUACAUGUAGUUAUAAUUAUUUUUCUAUUUCGUCCAUAAAUGUGCAUAUGUAUUAUCUACAAAGCGGGUUUAAGUACUGUACUAGAAUACAUAGCCUGAGCAUGUUACAUUUGUAUUUCCCCCCCUUUAUAUUGGUUUUUAUAAAACCUUUAACCUUGUGAUUGCUCGCUACAAGAUGUGGUUGAUACUCAAUAUACUCCAGAUUUAUUGUGUUUUAGUGUGCAUGCACGACAUUAUGAAUGCCGUUAUAUUGAUUGUAACGAUGAACGGUAAUAAAAGUUAUAUGUAUCUGAGAUU
rnacentral:misc_RNA from 1 species